CCUACGGGUGGCAGCAGUGAGGAAUAUUGGUCAAUGGCCGGAAGGCUGAACCAGCCAUGCCGCGUGAAGGUCAGUGCCCUAUGGGCGUUAAACUUCUUUUGUGCGGGAGCAAUAAUGGUCACGUGUGGCCAGACGAGAGUACCGUACGAAUAAGCAUCGGCUAACUCCGUGCCAGCAGCCGCGGUAAUACGGGGGAUGCAAGCGUUAUACGGAUUUAUUGGGUUUAAAGGGUGCGUAGGCUGUGAGGUAAGUCAGCGGUGAAAUGCCCCCGCUCAACGGGGUGAAGUGCCAUUGAUACUGCCUGGCUGGAAUGCGGAUGCGGUGGGAGGAAUGUGUGGUGUAGCGGUGAAAUGCAUAGAUAUCACACAGAACACCGAUUGCGAAGGCAUCUCACGAAUCCGCGAUUGACGCUGAGGCACGAAAGCGUGGGUAUCAAACAGGAUUAGAUACCCCAGUAGUC
rnacentral:rRNA from 1 species